UUCCUUCAUCCUGCUUCCAUAAUUAUAUGUUGGGGUGCAGAAGUAAUCAUUUACUCCAUUGCCUACAUGAACCUUAUCAUCCUCUGCUUUGCAAAAGGCUAACAUAAAUGCUGAAGCAAUGGCUAAUAUUCAGUACAGCUGAGAUAUUUCCUGGCAGCUGCUGAAGAAACAUGGAAAAUGGACCAAUAAGAACAGGCUGAAGAAGGCUGAAGUCAGCAACGAGGAUGAUAAUUUAUCAGAAUAUUUGGUACGUGACAACUGUUAUAAAAGAUUUUGGAGACUGCCACAUUCCUGGGCUGGUGGCCACCUUCCUCCAUCUUCAACAGUGAUCCUCAACCUUUCUGCACUAGCGACCGGUUUUGUAGAAGACAUUUUUUUUCACAAACGAAGGCAGGGUGGGGAUGAUUUUCGGAUUAUUCAAGUGCAUUAUAUUUAUUGUGGACUUUAUGUCUAUUAUUAUUACAUUGUAA
rnacentral:lncRNA from 1 species